rnacentral:lncRNA from 1 species
UCAAGUGGAAGGCUGACUUCGGGUCCACACUGGGCAGCUGCGUCAUCCUUGGAGCAUCCUCGGCCUCGACCUCGACCUCGACCUCGACCUCGACCUCGACCUCGACCUUGCCCUCGCCCUCGCCCUCCGCUGGCUCAGAGGGCGCGAGCUCCGCUCCCUCUGUUGACGAUGCUGGCCGCACAGAGCCUGAUGAUUGUGACGAUUCAGGAAGCAUCCCUGAGUCGUUC